rnacentral:rRNA from 1 species
UACGUAGGGUGCGAGCGUUGUCCGGAAUUAUUGGGCGUAAAGGGCUCGUAGGCGGUUUGUCGCGUCGGGAGUGAAAACUCAGGGCUUAACCCUGAGCCUGCUUCCGAUACGGGCAGGCUAGAGGUAUGCAGGGGAGAACGGAAUUCCUGGUGUAGCGGUGAAAUGCGCAGAUAUCAGGAGGAACACCGGUGGCGAAGGCGGUUCUCUGGGCAUGUCCUGACGCUGAGGAGCGAAAGUGUGGGGAGCGAACAGG